AAAAAAAAUCGAAGGUUGGUGCAAAUUUAUGGUUCAAAUUAUGAAUAUAUUAAUUACUCUGAAUUUUGCAGGAUUGUGGAGUUUCAUUGAUGAUGUUCAACUCUUAUUAUCUGGUUGACAUUGAAAAUGAAAAGAUCGGACGUGUUCUGAAACUUGAUUCCCUUAAAAAUGGUGAUCUAUGGAAAGAAAUGGACGUUUUGGUCUUCCACACUCGGGAAUGGUGGUACCGCAGAGGACCUAACCAACCAUGGGAUUAUGUUCAAGAUGGUAUCCAAACUCUCAAAGACAUGGAUCGUAUGGCUGCUUUUCACAAGGGUUUAACAACAUGGGCUAAGUGGGUUGAUCUUCCAAGGAAUUUCUCCUACCCACUAUCAGUAAGUUUACCUCUUUCCCAUCAUCAUUUUUUUUUUUCGAAAACCGAAAAUUAGUUUCACCAGUUUCUCUGAUACAAUAUAUAUAUAUAUAUAUAUAUUUUUUUUUUUUUGUUUGUUACCGUGUCAUAUUUAGUGGCAAGUAUCAGAAUGAACCAGGGGUGACAAAACCCAUAAGUGGAUCAGUCUACCGAGGUGGAUUGCCCAAGGCAUUAUAUGUGGUGAAAGAUGUAUUAAGUGGAAUGAGAAAACCAGUUCAUCUGCUGGACAUAACAACUCUAUCACAACUCAGAAAAGAUGCACAUCCCGGCUUUUAUAACGGCUUUAGGCGCAUGGACUGUAACCAUUGGUGUAUCGCUGGACUUCCAGAUACUUGGAAUCAACUUUUAUAUGCAUUUCUCAUAACUUGAAAGAACAAUGAAAUUUGGAUAUUUUUAUUUUAUUUUGGUAAUAAAUGAAAGUUUGAAUAAUAUGCAAAAACUUUGAGAAACAGUAAUGUAUUCUAGCUAAGCCAUUUUGGUUUAAAUCUUCAUCGUAAAAUGUAUAUAAAUAGAUACAGAAUGAGAGAUUCAAAUGGGUUCUAAAACAUGGUCAUGAAAAAGAAAAUUUCCGACCAAAAUUUAUUCGGACAUAAUAAUUGGUAAAAAUUGUCACAACAACCCUGUGCAGAUCAUGAUCCAUUACUAUAUCAGUAUACUAGACAGUACAUAUUGAAUAUAACGAAAGCUAAUGCUAUGGAACAAACUACUUGUCUACAAUGAUU